rnacentral:rRNA from 1 species
GGCGGUUCGCUGCCCGCGACGUCGAAAGAAGUCCACUGAACCUUAUCAUUUAGAGGAAGGAGAAGUCGUAACAAGGUUUCCGUAGGUGAACCUGCGGAAGGAUCAUUGCCAUGCCUAUGGUGCACGACCUGUGAACAAGUAAAAAACAUCAGGGGAUUGCGGCGGGCAGCGAGAGCUGUCCUGUCGCGUUUCCCUGGCCGGACGGUCCCCCGAUCUUCGGGGGUCCCCCGACCAACUCACCCACCCCGGCGCGGAAUGCGCCAAGGAAAAUCAAACUGAACUGCGUCGUCCCUCCCGUUUGCGGGCUGGUGCGUCGUCUAUUUCUAGAAAACACAAACGACUCUCGGCAACGGAUAUCUCGGCUCUCGCAUCGAUGAAGAACGUAGCGAAAUGCGAUAUUUGGUGUGAAUUGCAGAAUCCCGUGAACCAUCGAGUUUUUGAACGCAAGUUGCGCCCGAGGCCUUCUGGCCGAGGGCACGUCUGCUUGGGCGUCACGCUCUAUGCGCCCCCCACCAAACCCCACUUAUGUGUCGGUGCUGGCGGAGGGCGGAAGUUGGCCUCCCGUGCCUCGUCGCGCGGUUGGCCCAAAUGCGAGUCCUUGGCGGCGGAUACGUCACGACAAGUGGUGGUUGUCUCUUUGUCAUCUUAUCACGUUGUGCGGUGGUUCGUCGUUGGUGGGAUCCUCACGUGACCCUAUUUGCGUGCCACUCUUUUGUGUGCUUGCAACACUUGCGACCCCAAGUCAGGCGGGACUACCCGCUGAGUUUAAGCAUAUCAAUAAG